GCGGGUUCACUUUGGCCCAAAGUGGUUUAAGUUCAAGUGCACAUGUUAAAAUAAAUUUGACUCACUGAUACUUCUUUUGUGUGGUGUUAUCACUGUGAACAUCCUGCCUCCACCUACGUCAGUGAGUGUUUGUUAACCAGACGAGAUUGAUGGUCGUUUUCUGACGAUAUCUAACUUAAAUUUGACGUGAUAAGUGUGUGUAUUUGUUAAAGAUAUAUUUAGUAAAGUGGAAGACCAUCAUACAAUGGAAGAUAAUUGCUCUGCAAUGGAAGAUGAUUGCUCACAGAAGUCAAGUGAUCAGAUUUUUGAGCAGCAGUCAAUGGGUUCAUCCCAGAUCAUCAGGGAGGAACAAUGUAAUAGAGAGAGAAAACAAUGGAGGAAAUCUCUUGGUGAUGCUUGGAGAUACUCCCUGGGUGAUUUUGAGGGUAAUAUUCUCACUAAUGAGACUACUAACAGUGCCAAGUGUCGUGUAGUACCCACAGAAAAGGAAUGUAAUAAAACUGCGGGCACAGAUGCAAGUGAUGAUUUACCCGAUGCCAUGCUUGGCUAUAAAUUGGAGUCUGUGGAUGGCAUUAAAUACAAAUCUACUACCUCUACUCAGUUGUCCAGCAACAUAUUAACAGUUGCAGAUAAAUGCAGUAUCAGUGAAAAUUCUGAUAAUUGUUCUGAUCAAAACGCUGAUUAUUUCCGAGAUGGAUCAAAGAGUGAUGGAGAUACAUGCAGUGAUACACGCAGUGAGCCUGUAUUAAUGAGAUCUACUUCAACCAGCUGCUCCAGCCCGCAUGACAAGUCUCCUACAUCCCCAUCCAGUAGUGAGGAUGCGUUUCAUGAUAUGAAAUUUACGAUAUCUCCCUGGUCCCCAUCUAGUGGGUGUACUCAAUCGGUGCGUCUUAUAAAGGUUCGAACAAGGAAUGUCAGAAGAUCAUUAAGCAAUGAUCCUGAUAUACAAAGCCGAUACAUAGCAUCUAUGGAACACCACAUUAAACUACUCAAAGAUGAGCGUGAGAGUGUGCAGAAGAAAACCUUUUGUAAAUGGGUAAAUUCUCACUUGGUUCGUGUUAGUGCUCGAAUUGCAGACCUCUACGUUGAUCUUCGAGAUGGAAAGCAACUCAUCAAGCUUCUGGAGAUCCUCUCUGGAGAACGACUACCACGACCCACCAAAGGAAAGAUGAGAAUCCACUGCCUUGAGAAUGUAGACAAAGCUUUGCAGUUCCUCCGGGAUCAACGCGUCCACUUGGAGAACAUGGGUUCACACGACAUUGUCGAUGGUAAUGCACGUCUCACAUUGGGUCUCAUCUGGACCAUUAUCCUCCGCUUCCAAAUUCAAGAUAUUACCAUCGAAGAGACAGAGAAUCAAGAGACAAAAAGUGCAAAGGAUGCUCUUCUUCUUUGGUGUCAAAUGAAGACUGCUGGUUAUCACAAUGUUAACAUCAGAAAUUUCACUACAUCUUGGAGAGAUGGCUUGGCUUUUAAUGCCAUCAUUCACAAGCAUAGACCAGAUUUGGUGCAGUAUGAGAAAUUAUCUCGUUCAAAUCCCAUUCACAACCUCAACAAUGCUUUCAAUGUGGCUGAAAACAAACUGGGGCUUACAAAACUCUUGGAUGCUGAGGAUAUAUUUGUUGAACAGCCUGAUGAGAAGUCAAUUAUUACCUAUGUUGUCACCUACUACCACUACUUCUCAAAGUUGAAGCAGGAGACAGUUCAAGGCAAACGUAUAGGCAAGGUGGUUGGUAUUGCCAUGGAGAAUGAUAGGAUGAUCAGAGAGUACGAAGGCUUGACCUCGGAUCUUCUCAAGUGGAUUGAAACUACAAUUGAAUCUCUUAAUGACCGAGAUUUUGCCAACUCCUUAACUGGAGUUCAAACGCAGUUGACACAGUUCAACACUUACCGCACUGUAGAAAAACCACCAAAGUUUGUAGAAAAGGGUAACCUUGAGGUGCUGCUUUUUACUUUACAAUCAAAGAUGCGAGCUAACAACCAAAAACCAUAUUUGCCUAAAGAAGGUAAAAUGAUUAGUGACAUCAAUAAAGCCUGGGAACGUUUGGAGAAGGCAGAACACGAACGAGAGUUAGCAUUGCGAGAAGAACUCAUUCGUCAAGAGAAAUUGGAGCAGCUGGCAGCUAGAUUUAACCGCAAGGCUGGGAUGAGAGAAACUUGGCUGUCUGAAAACCAACGUCUUGUUUCUCAGGACAACUUUGGCUUUGAUUUGGCAGCAGUGGAAGCAGCAGCAAAGAAACAUGAAGCUAUUGAGACUGAUAUCUUUGCUUAUGAGGAACGUGUACAGGCAGUUGUUGCAGUGGCACAGGAACUUGAGACUGAACGAUAUCAUGAUAUUGAACGCAUUAAUGCCAGGAAAGAUAAUGUGUUACGGCUAUGGAACUACUUGCUGGAGCUUUUGCGCCUUCGUCGUAUGAGACUCGAACUUUCCCUACAAUUGCAACAGAACUUCCAAGAAAUGAUAUACAUUCUAGAUUCUAUGGAAGAUAUGAAAGUACGGCUGUUAAGUGAAGAUUAUGGAAAACAUCUUAUGGGUGUAGAGGACUUGCUGCAAAAACAUUCCUUGUUGGAGGCAGAUAUCAAUGUUCUGGGUGAGCGUGUAAAAACUGUUAUCGAACAUUCUCAAAGGUUCCUUGAUGAUGAGCAAGUGGAAGGUUAUCGGCCAUGUGAUCCAUCCAUUGUCUUGGAACGUGUGCAGCAAUUAGAAGAUGCUUAUGGUGAAUUAGUCAAGCUGGCAGUGGAGCGUCGACUGCGUUUGGAAGAGUCCCGCAAGUUAUGGCAGUUCUACUGGGAUAUGGCAGAGGAGGAGAAUUGGAUCAAGGAGAAGGAACAAAUUCUGUCAACUUCAGAUAUAGGGCAUGACCUCAUUACUGUUAACCUACUCUUGACUAAGCACAAAACUGUAGAAGAAGAACUUCUUUCUCAUGAACCCCAAAUAAUGGCUGUUGUCAAGGUUGGAGAAGAGCUAAUUGUUCAGCAACACUUUGGUUCCGACAAAAUUCAGGAAAGAAUUGAUGAGAUUAUGGGAAUGUGGAACAGCCUUAAGGAGAAGUCUGCAACCAGAAAGAAGAGGUUGACAGAUGCAGUGGACCUGCAUCAGUUCUAUACAGAAGCCGAUGAUGUGGACACAUGGAUGCUAGAUAUACUGCGUUUGGUAUCCAGUGAAGAUACUGGCAGAGAUGAAGCCACUGUACAGUCUCUACUUAAGAAACACAAAGAUGUUACUGAAGAGUUGAAGAAUUAUGCCACUACAAUUGAAGCUCUUCACCAACAAGCAUCGGAGCUUAAUGAGAUUGACAGAGAGUCUCCAGAUGUCGUUGAAAGGUUGGCAUCAAUUGAUAGACGUUACAAAGAACUCCUGGAAUUGGCAAAGAUGCGUAAACAGAGACUUCUUGAUGCCUUGUCAUUGUAUAAAUUAUUCACUGAGGCAGAUGGUGUUGAACAGUGGAUAGGAGAGAAAGAAAGAAUGCUUCAAACGAUGGUUCCAGCAAAGGAUAUUGAAGAUUGUGAGAUCAUGAAACAUAGAUAUGAAGGAUUUGAACAGGAAAUGAAUGCUAAUGCUAGUCGUGUUGCAGUAGUGAAUCAACUAGCUCGCCAGCUGCUACAUGUUGAACACCCUAAUUCGGAAGACAUUGUAACCCGCCAGAAUCAGUUAAACCAGCGAUGGGCAGAGCUACGGGAAAAGGCUGAGAACAAACGUGAAGAACUUAACUCUGCUCAUGGUGUUCAGACAUUCCACAUUGAAUGCCGAGAAACUGUUCUGUGGAUUGAGGACAAGAAGAGAGUCUUGAUGGAGACGGCUGAUCUUGGUACUGAUCUAAGUGGUAUCAUGACUCUACAGCGGCGUCUUUCUGGUAUGGAGCGAGACUUGGCAGCCAUUCAAGCAAAGUUGGAUUCUUUGGAAAGAGAAGCAGAUAAGAUUAGUAAAGACCAUCCUGAAGAAGCUGAACUUAUUCGUGAACGUGUUGAACAAAUUCGUGCUGUAUGGGAUCAGCUUACUCAACUCUUGAAGGAACGUGAUGCUAAACUUGAGGAGGCUGGUGAUCUUCAUCGCUUCUUGCGUGAUUUGGAUCAUUUCCAGGCCUGGUUGACAAAGACCAUGACUGAUGUUGCCUCUGAAGAUAUUCCAUCUAAUCUUGCUGAAGCAGAGAAGCUUCUUAGUCAGCACCAGUCUAUCAGAGAAGAGAUUGAUAAUUACACUGAAGAUUACACUAAGAUGAUGGAAUAUGGUGAACGUAUAACUGCAGAAGAUGUCACUCCAGCUGAUGAUGCUCAGUAUAUGUUCUUAAGAGAACGUCUGAAGGCCCUGAAGGAUGGCUGGGCAGAAUUACACCAGAUGUGGGAGAACAGACAACAGCUUUUGUCCCAGUCUCUUAACUUGCAAAUGUUCUUGCGUGACACCAAACAAGGUGAAGUACUUCUUAGCCAGCAGGAGCACUACCUCAGCAAGGAUGAGACGCCUACAAACUUGGAACAGGCAGAGAACCUCAUUAAGAGACAUGAAGCAUUCCUUACAACCAUGGAAGCUAAUGAUGAAAAGAUAAAUGGCAUAUGUCAAUUUGCUCAGAGGCUUUUGGAUGAAGAGCACUUUGCAGCAGACAAAAUCCAGAAGAAGGCAGAAAAUAUUGAAGAACGUCGUCAACAAAAUAGAGAACGAGCAAUGGAGCAGAUGGAACGUUUAAGGGACCAAUUGCAAGUACAUCAGUUCCUUCAAGACUGUGAAGAACUAAAUGAUUGGGUCCAGGAAAAACAUAUCAUUGCCCAAGAUGAGAGUUAUCGGUCAGCCAAGACUGUGCAUAGUAAGUGGACCCGUCACCAGGCCUUUGAAGCAGAGAUUGCCAGCAAUAAAGACAGGUUAAUCAGAGUACAACAGGCUGGAGAGGAAUUAGUUAAAGAAAAACCAGAGAUGGCCGAGCUCAUUGGACCCAAGAUUAGCGAACUUAACCAGCACUUUGAUGCUCUUGAAACCACUACCAAAGAAAAGGGUGAACGUCUGUUUGAUGCUAAUCGGCAAGUGCUUUAUGAGCAGACUUGUGAUGACAUUGAUACUUGGAUGACAGACUUGGAAAAGCAAAUUGAAGGUCGUGAUACAGGAAUGGAUCUUACUUCUGUAAAUAUACUCAUGCAGAAACAACAAAUGAUUGAAACACAAAUGGCUGUUAAAGCCAAACAAGUGGAACAGUUAGAAAGUCAAGCUGAUUAUUUACAACGCAUGACACCAGAGAAGACUGAGGAAAUUAAAUUAAUGAAGGCAAUGGUAGAAAAGAAGUUCGAGUCGCUCAAAGCUCCCCUAGAUGAACGUAAUUGGGCUCUGGCAAAAAAGAAAGAAGCAUAUCAGUUCAGAAGAGAUGUGGAGGAUGAGAAGUUAUGGAUACUAGAAAAGAUGCCACAGGCAUCUAACACAGAAUAUGGCAACUCUCUCUUCACCGUCCACAUGCUAAAGAAGAAGCUCCAGAGUUUAAGCACAGAAAUUGAUAACCAUGAACCACGCAUUAAUUUGGUAUGUGCAAAUGGCAGAAAACUUAUUGAAGAAGGACACGAGAGUGCAGACGAAUUCCACAAAUUGUUAGAGGAUUUGUUAGAUCAUUGGGCCAAAUUGAAGGAUGCCUUAGAGCACAGACGGUCAAAACUUUUGGUGUCGGAAAAAGCACAACAAUAUCUCUUUGAUGCAAGUGAGGCAGAGGUUUGGAUGAGUGAACAGGAACUUUACAUGAUGGUGGAGGAUCGUGGCAAGGAUGAAAUUUCUGCUCAGAACUUGAUGAAGAAACACCAGAGUUUAGAGUGUGCUGUAGCAGACUAUGCAGAAACGAUAAGACAGCUUGGAGAAACGGCGAGACAUCUUAUUAAUGAAGAACAUCCUGACAGUGAACAGAUAGGAAUCAGACAGUCACAAAUAGAUAAGCUGUAUGCUGGACUGCGGGACCUUGCAGUAGAACGACGCAGCAAAUUAGACGAAGCCCUCAAACUGUUUAUGUUGAACCGUGAAGUUGACGACUUAGAGCAAUGGAUUGCAGAACGGGAGGUAGUUGCUGGGUCGCAUGAGCUUGGUCAAGACUACGACCAUGUCUCGAUGCUCCGUGAUCGGUUUAAGGAGUUUGCUCGUGACACAGAAACUAUUGGAACAGAGCGAGUUGCAGCUGUCAAUGAGAUAGCUGAUCAGUUAAUAUCUGCUGGUCAUUCUGAUGCAGCCACCAUAGCAGAAUGGAAGGAUGGUCUGAAUGAAUCUUGGGCUGACUUGCUGGAGCUAAUUGAGACACGCACACAAAUGUUAGCAGCUUCUUGGGAACUACAUAAAUUCUUCCAUGAUUGUAAGGACGUACUGAGUCGCAUCCUAGAAAAACAGAACAGCAUAUCAGAUGAACUUGGCCGUGAUGCUGGUUCAGUUUCAGCUCUACAAAGAAAACAUCAGAACUUUGUACAAGACUUGGUUAUGCUUCAACAACAGGUCCAACAAGUUCAGGAAGAUUCGUCCAAACUACAAGCAGCAUAUGCAGGUGAUAAAGCUCGUGAGAUUACCAAUCGUGAAGCGGAAGUGGUCUCAGCAUGGUUGAAUUUACAAGGCAUGUGUGAAGACAGACGAAUUAAGCUACAUGACACUGGAGAUCUAUUCAAAUUCUUCAACAUGGUGCGCACUCUAAUAUUAUGGAUGGAUGAUGUUAUCAGACAGAUGAACACUACUGAAAAACCCAGGGAUGUAAGUGGUGUAGAGUUGUUAAUGAACAAUCAUCAAAGUUUGAAAGCAGAAGUAGACGCACGGGAAGACAACUUUAAUGUGUGCGUGUUUCUCGGGAAGGAGUUACUCUCCCGAAAUCAUUAUGCCACACCAGAAAUUAAGGAGAAGCUUAUGUCGCUUAGCAACCAGCGCAUCAACAUGCUUCAACGUUGGGAAGAAAGAUGGGAGCAUCUGCAGCUCAUUUUGGAGGUGUACCAGUUUGCUCGUGAUGCAUCUGUAGCAGAGCAGUGGCUGCUUGCUCAGGAACCGUACCUCGUAUCAUCAGAGUUCGGGAGAUCUAUUGAUGAAGUUGAAAACCUUAUCAAGAAGCAUGAAGCAUUUGAUAAGGCAUGUUCAGCCCAAGAAGAACGGUUUGCUGCCUUAGAGAGAUUAACUACGCUUGAAGCCCUUAUAGUAACUGAUGCAAGAUCACGUGCUAACAGUGUUCCAGGAACCAGUGUCCACCGUACCUUCCUUCUUCCUUACUCUCCUCCACCAGCUUCGCAUCGGCGGCACUCACUUCCCACUUCUGUUCAUGCAUUCUUCACCGCAUUUUCCUGUCCUGCUCUAACACAGUUACAGGCUGCUAGGUUCACCAGUAUUCAUACAUUGCCAGAGAACAUGCUGGCAAAUUCAGCUCUUAGGGAUUCUUUAAAGAAAUGCAGGAGAAGAUUAAAUUCCACCUCAAAUCCACAAUUGUCUCUAACUAUGCAUGUAAAAGAUUCAGAUACAGAUAGUUUGUUUUCAGAUAUGUUAAAUCAGCGCUGCUGUUACUAUGAAGGGCGUCCUACUAGUGCCCCUCCUACUAAUUCAUUACACAUAGGCUCCAAACAUUCUUCCUUUAAUAAUAUAUCCACAUCAGCAAGUCGAUCUCAAUCUGUGGAAAAUAGAGAAUGUACAAAUGGCAAGUCAUUACAUUUAGGUGUCCAAGAUGGAGGCUGGGAUACUAAAUCCAGUGGUUCAGUUUAUGAAUUUGUUAGUGUAGAUGAGUAUGAAGCUCCAUAUUUAGAAGAGUCUAGUGACAGAAUAUCAGAAUUUUGUUCGUAUGGUGUAGAACUUGGAGAACUUGAUUGUAUUAAUGAAUUGGAGGAUGACGAAAUGUCAGAGCCAGUAAGUAGUUAUAAGGCAUAUAGGAAAAGUCAGAUAUAUGGUUAUACAGACACAGCUGAUGAUAGUACUACUCUACCACCUAUUUAUGAGUUAGAAGGCGAGGGAUCUGAAAUUACUGAACUGACUGAUACGAGAUCUGUUGAAUUUUUGAGCUCUGAAAGUCUACUCGAUAAGUCAGAGAACUCGACUCGAAAGAAUAGUAAAACCUCGUAUGAAGUUCCUCAGUAUCCAAAGCUCAUGGACCAAAAUUAUUGUGCUCAAUAUUGCUCUGAUAAUGAUUCCAUCAUGAGUUAUUACUCGGUUGUCCCUCGUGAGGGCUUUACGGAUAGCAUACGCAAUGUUGAUCAUUUAGUAGGAAAACUAGACUUAAGGAAUGUGCAGGGGUGUCCCUCACCUGUCUCGCCUUUCCCUCUCACUCCACCCAAUACCUGUGAUUCCUCUCCUAAGUUCUUAAAUAUUAAACAUCCUGCAAGAAAUAACCUGCAUGCUCUGUGUGGUGUAGAGUAUGAACUGAAGGAACUAAAGCGAAAGCAAGAGGAGGAGGAGGAAGAGCGACGAAGACAAGAAGAGUUGGCGAGACAAGCUGCUGCUCCUCCGCCCCAGUCACCAGAUCAGCCUACAGAUGGAGUUGAUGGUGCAGCAGAGGACUCUCAUCUCAAUGGAGAGGAGCUCGACGAAUCACAAGAAGCUGUUGAACCACCAUCAGCAGUGCUUCCUUCCAAGGGCCAACCCCAUACGUUGCCCCGAGAGCAUGAUGAGAGUGGAGCAGUGCGAGGGGGUAGUGCACCUAGCACCCCACGACCUCCUUCCACUCCUGUCACCCCCACUGCUGCAUCGAGCGCAGUCCGAGGGCGCCCUGUCUCCGCCACCCUCCCUCCACAGUCAUCCCUGUCAUCCCCAGCUUCGCCCCCCACUCCUGCUAGUAAGGAGUCGCGACGGAGGGUGCGUUCUAGAUCGAAGUCUCCAUUCCGCUCUUUCCGCUGGAAGAAAUCCAAGUCUUCUCCAUCCGGAGCACCGGGUAGUGCAUCUGACGAUGAAUCAAAUCUGGAGAGGGCAGCAGAACGACCAAGCCCCAGUGGAGAUGAAGAUCAGCUAGAGGGCAGCUUGGUGCGUAAACACGAAUGGGAAUCUACUACAAAGAAGGCCUCUAAUCGGUCUUGGGACAAGGUGUUCCUGGUGCUCCGUGGAAACAUGUUGAUGUUCUAUAAAGAUCGCAAGAGCUAUCAAGCUGCUCCAGAAGUCUUCUUUAGAGCUGAAGCGCCUUGUGAUGUUUCGGGUGGACAAGCAUCAAUUGCUGAUGAUUACACGAAGAAGAAGCAUGUUCUACGACUUAAAUUGAUUGGUGGUGCUGAGUAUUUGUUCCAAGCCAAAGAUGAAGAGGAGCUGACAGUAUGGGUUGGAUCUCUCCAAAUGGCUGCAUCCGCUGAAGGAUCAGCCGGUCCUUCUCGCUCCCAGACUCUCCCAGCUGGCUCCGAGAAGAAAGACGAGCCCAAGAGACGCAGCUUCUUUACUCUCAAGAAGAAAUAAUGGGCUGAAUGUCCAUAACUAUUUACUCUCCCUUUCCCUUUUCUUUAUUUCUCAGCCUACACUUGACACCCUUCAUAAUCAUUUCCUUUUCAAAGUCUCUUAGCAAUAUCUUGCUCUUCUAAGCCCGGUUUCAGACCCAGUGUGGAAUAUAUACAUGAGAGUUGAAAUGCUAGUGCUGGUCUGGGCUUGUAUUAUUGGCUGCUGUUUUAUUGCUAUUGGGUUGGAACAAAGUAGAAUCUGCUUUAGCAUCAUCAGCUUCUCUUUAUGCAAUGUUUCCCAAACUGGGUCUGAACGGUAGCAUUGUGAAAUCAUGUUCAUUUUCGUACAUCAAAUUUUUAGUCCCUAGUGUUCAGUUAACAAUACCACACAAGGUAUUAAUUUUUCCCAUGGAGUAAAAAGUGAUGAUAGUUUUGUGUACUAGCUCUGGUGGAAGAAUACGUGAGUCUGUGCAGUUCCCAAAUGUUGUCUGCCUAGCACUGCCAUGGCUGAGUUUUCCAAUGUUUGUUCCUCUUUUUGUAGGGACUUGUGUGUGAAAUUGUAUAUUUAGUAUUAUGUCAGAUGUCCCAUACUUUGUGAGAGUAAUGAUUUGUUAAUUUUAUGUGUCUCUAGCUGUAGUACCACAGUUUUGACUAGAUAGCACAUAAUUGUAUUGUACAGAAAUGAUAGAAUCAUACCUAUUAUGCUGCUUUAUGCUUACAUUUUUAGACAUAGUAUAAUAUUUCAUGUACCACUUCAUAGUUGUUCAAAUCAUUACCAGAGUAUGGAAGGCCAGCCAGUAUCAUAAUUUUUGUUAAUGGGCAAAUUCAUUCUGCUUCAAAGUGUAGGUGUGGCACAGAUAUGUUCCUUUAUAUUCUUAAAUUUCAACCUUAUCUGGUCUUAUCCUAUGAAAUCAAGUUCUUCAUCUCUACAUCGGCAAUGAAUUGAAGACUCCAGGCAUAGUACUUGGACCAGCCACCUUCUACCAGAUGGCCAGUUUUCCCAUGUGGUCAAGAUGAACACGCGCAGGUGCCUGGCAGAUUUAGAUGGUUUUCCUCGGCCCAAAAUGAUCUUCAAAUCGUCAGGGCUUGCUCCAUCUCUUCAUACUUGGGCUUCACUUUUCUCAGGUUGGGGGCCAAGCUUGCUCCUCUUUCUCCUCCUGGUUGCUGGUAGGAAGUGGCUACUCAAGGUUCCCUGUGUACAUGAAAGUAAACAAACCUGUGACUGACAGCUAAAAGUUCCUGGCUGUCUUCCAUUACUUAAUGUAUAUUGAUAUUAGGUUGUAUAUCUUAAGAAAUUAACCAGGUCAGCAUGAUGCAGCAAGGUUGAUGAUGAUCCUUUUUUUUUAUAAAAGACGAAACACGAUGUUCUGUAAUAUAAAGUGGAAAUAUGUACAGGUUAUUAUAGUGAUUGAAGUAUAUAUAUUAAAAUGCCUGCAGAAGUUUGUUUUAUACAUAUUUAACAGUUGAACAUGUUGUGGUUAAUUUCUUAAUUACUUUUAUCUUUUUUACAGUCUUCAUUAAAUUUUUUAAAUUUUUUCUACUGAAUAAUCUAGCUUAUAUUUUUAAAUCUUUUAGUCAUGAGAUCUUUAAAAUGUUUAUUUACAUAAAAUAUCUAUAUAAAGUAUUUAAUAUCUGACCCAUUAUUUUGGAUACACUGUAGUUCUUCUAUUACAAUUAUCAGCUUCUUAGCUUUUAAUAAAUUUAUAUUUAAAUAAUCUAAUUACUGACUAAGGGAGAAGAUCAGUACUCAUGGUGUAUUUUUCUCUGGAAUAAAUUUAUAAACCUCGGUUGUAUUUAUAGCUAAUCAACAAUUUGACUAUACAAAAUAAUAGUCUGUUUUCCAGGCCACCAAAUGGCUUCAUUUAUGACAUGACCAUGUUAGCCACUGUCUUGUUUGUGCUACUAAAGAAACGACCGAGCCAAAA